rnacentral:rRNA from 1 species
UACGGGGGGGGCAAGCGUUGUUCGGAAUUACUGGGCGUAAAGGGCUCGUAGGUGGCCAACUAAGUCAGACGUGAAAUCCCUCGGCUUAACCGGGGAACUGCGUCUGAUACUGGUUGGCUUGAGUUUGGGAGAGGGAUGCGGAAUUCCAGGUGUAGCGGUGAAAUGCGUAGAUAUCUGGAGGAACACCGGUGGCGAAGGCGGGUCUCUGGGCAACAACUGACGCUGAGGAGCGAAAGCGUGGGGAGCGAACAGG